UACGUAGGGGGCAAGCGUUGUCCGGAAUCAUUGGGCGUAAAGCGCGCGUAGGCGGGCCGUUAAGUGGGAGGUGAAAGGCUGAGGCUCAACCUCAUGCAGUGCCUCCCAUACUGGCGGUCUUGAGGGCGGUAGGGAGAAGUGGAAUGGCUGGUGUAGCGGUGAAAUGCGUAGAUAUCAGGAGGAACACCGGUGGCGAAGGCGGGGUCUCUGGGCAGUAACUGACGCUGAGGAGCGAAAGCGUGGGGAGCGAACAGG
rnacentral:rRNA from 1 species